rnacentral:rRNA from 1 species
GGCAGUAGUUAGCCUAACCGCAAGGAGGGCGAUUACCACGGUAGGGUUCAUGACUGGGGUGAAGUCGUAACAAGGUAGCCGUAUCGGAAGGUGCGGCUGGAUCACCUCCUUUA